rfam:Macrostomum lignano uti_cns_0003784, whole genome shotgun sequence.
GCAGGUACGGCGAUAUGGUCCCAAUGACCAUCGUAGGCAAAAUCGUUGGCGGCAUCUGCUCAUUAUCUGGCGUUCUGGUCAUAGCCCUGCCAGUCCCGGUCAUAGUGAGCAGC